UUCACACCGCAACAGGGACACCCCUGAGUCCAAUGUCUUCUUAAGAAAUGGGCCUGUGUCUCCCCCAGACCUGCCGAUGAUAUUCUCCUCUGGGCAGGCCCAGGACAGGGUUUGGAGUGAGGCUGUGAGCACUUAACUGAUACUUUGCAAGAAUAUGAAUUUGGUAUUAGUUUUUUUCCUUGUCUGUCUUUCCUGUUGACUAACAGUUGCUCUUUUCCUUGUUUUUGUUUUCUUUCUUUUCUUUUUUUUUUUUUUUUUUUUUUUGUUUUUGUUUUUGGUGUCACUUAAGGCCCUCGGGACCAAGGAUCACGCCAUGAUUCUGGUGAGUUCGCUGGUGGUGGCAUGAAAAAGUUGUUAAAGUUAGUAUCUAGACUUCACCUAGAUGUUUUUUGAAAUUUAUAAAACAAAAAACUGAAAAAGCAGUGAUAGAGAAGGGAAGAGUGUUUUAGAUAUACUUAACAAUUCAUAAAUGAGUAUAUCAGAAAUGUUUGGUAAAUGAAUAAUUCUUCAGCAAUUUAGAGGGUCUGGAAUGAGCCUGAGGAUCUGUAACAAUUCACAGGUGAUGCCAAUUCAUCUGUGGACCAUACUCCAGAACUGGACAGCAUUUAAAAAAAAUCUUUACUUUUUUUUCAUGUAAAUUGUCUUAGGGAUCUUCAGUUGAAAGUUGAUAAGCACUGAUGAAUUUUGUGAUCUUGGGCAGUGAACACCUGAGUCCUGGUUUCUGUACAGUGUUAUAAAAUAUUCUAAUGGAUAGUUGUAAAACUAAACCCAUAUGGGUAUUCAAAUGUGAGAAUUGAAGGGCUGUUAAUUUUUUUAUAUUUUAACUUUGUUUUUCCUUUUUAAAUUUUUCAUGUUCCCCUGUGUUCAACAAGCAGAACAGGAUAAUUCAGACAACAACACCAUCUUUGUACAAGGCCUGGGUGAGAAUGUUACAAUUGAGUCUGUGGCUGAUUACUUCAAGCAGAUUGGUAUUAUUAAGGUACUGUGGAACAGAGUACAUAGUUUCUACUGGUUGGCAGGCAUUUAGAUUUGACACGUUAGUAAAAAUCAGUCAUAGUGAUUGCCAGUAGUAAAAAUGGAAGUUCUUUUUUAGUUGUUGGUGGACCACUGAGCCACAACCGCAGCUCCUAAAAAUGGAAGUCUUUUUUUUUUUUUAAUAUUUAUUAGUUGUAGUUGGACACAAUAUCUAUUUUUAUGUGAUGCUGAGGAUCGAACCCAGGGCCUCGCACGUGCUAGGCGAGCGCUCUACCGCUGAGCCACAAUCCCAGCCCCAAAAAUGGAAGUCUUAAUGGCCGUUGCCAGCUUAGUUUGGUGAGCAAAGAACAGUAGUUGUUGCCAUUUUUUAGGAAAUUGCACAAAAAGAAUGAGUGAUAAGGAAGGUGCCCCAAGACAGUGUAGACUGUGGUUUUAAUUUAGAUUGAAUGUGAGAUACUAAGAAGUAACUGGGAAGGAAAGAGCUGUAGUUUGAGAAUGAUAAAAGCUUCAGUUCUGGAAGAGGAAGAUGGAAGGUGUGUUAGUCCUUGAAUCAAGUGUCUUAAGAUGCUGGGGGUAGAACCCAGGUCCUCGUGUCCUAGGCAACUAUUCUAUCACAGAGCUAUAUGCCUCACUUAAAUCAUUGCCAUGCCAGAAGCUGUCUGGAUCCAGUGGUUCUGCUUUGAGCCAAACUCAAAAUUGAAAAUAUUUGGAAAAAUAGAUGUGUCUGAGUUGAACUUGUCCAUACGUUUUUUCUUAUCAGUCGUAAACAAGAAGUAAAACAAUUACAUAGCAUUUACAUUUAGGUAUUAAUAAAUAAUCGAAGAUUUUUAUUUGUGUGUGGUGCUUGGGAUCAAACUCUUGGGCUUCUGCAUGCUAAGUAAGUGGUAUACUGCUGAGCUACAGGCCUAGAUCCUAGGAAUUUAGGGUCUAACUCAGUGUAGUGUCUAGGAAAUAAAGUAUAUACAGGAGCCAGGAGUGGUGGCGCAUACCUGUAAUCCCAGCAGCUCAGGAGGCUGAGACAGUAGAAUCGCGAGUUCAAAGCCAGCCUCAGCAAAAGCGAGGUGCUNCUCUCAGCAACUUUCUCCUAAU
rnacentral:lncRNA from 1 species